ensembl:lncRNA
UUAUUGAGAAUGAGAGGGACAGACAGACAGAAUGAUUGAGACAAAAGUAGAGAGAGGGAAAGAGACACAACAGGUAAUAACAGGCCCAUGAUGAUUCAGCAUAUAUGUGGGUAGACAUUAUAACCACAUCCCAUGUGCAUCAUGAAUAGAUACAGUUCCAACUGAUUUAAUACUUCUAAGAAUAGAGCACUGGACUUGAUUCAGCCUAAUGAGUAGUACAUGUGAUGUCAUCAUGAUGUGGUCUCCCCCCACAGGAGUAUUGACGUCUGCAUCUAAAUAGUCUAUUUGUCUUCCUCCACCUCUUCCUGCUCUCCUAGUUUUCUAGCUAUGGCAUGCCAUGAUAUGGAUUAAAAGGGACCAGUGAAUGUACAUAAAUACUUGGUAGGCAUCCAGGAUAAUGCUUUCAUCUUUCCUUUCAUAUCAAUGUUAAUUAAGGAGACCAAUUCAGAGUAUUACAAUGCAGCCAUGGGUUCUGUAAUCAAAGGUUACAUACUUAAAAAGACCAAUUUACAGCAACAACAUAGGAAGUAUGUCAGGACACCAGGUUUAACCACAGAGAGUUGGUCCGAAAAACAUGUUUAACCACAGAGAGUUGGUCCGAAAAACAUGUUUAACCACAGAGAGUCAGUCAGGAAAACAUGUUUAACCACGGAGUCAGUCAGGAAAACAGGUUUAACCACAGAGGGUCUGUCAGGAAAACAGGUUUAACUACAGAGAGUCAAUCAGGAAAACAGGUUUAACCACAGAGUCAGUCAGGAAAACAUGUUUAACCACAGAGAGUCAGUCAGGAAAACAGGUUUAACCACAGAGGGUCUGUCAGGAAAACAGGUUUAACUACAGAGAGUCAGUCAGGAAAACAGGUUUAACCACAGAGAGUCAGUCAGGAAAACAGGUUUAACCACAGAGAGUCAGUCAGGAAAACAGGUUUAACCACAGAGUCAGUCAGGAAAACAGGUUUAACCACAGAGGGUCUGUCAGGAAAACAGGUUUAACCACAGAGAGUCAGUCAGGAAAACAUGUUUAACCACAGAGAGUCAGUCAGGAAAACAUGUUUAACCACAGAGAGUCAGUCAGGAAAACAGGUUUAACCACAGAGAGUCAGUCAGGAAAACAGUUCGUCCAUUUACUAUAACUUUGACCCAACAACUGUCUGGGUGUCUGGGACAUUUAGCAAAAGAAAUUCAAAAAACAGAAUACCCCUUCAAAACAUAUGUAUCUCACCACUGUGCUCUUAACAAUUAGCUAUGUUGCAGCAUUUAUCCUGCACCCUCCCCCCAUCUCACUGCAAUUGUCAGGAACCCCCGACCACUCCCAUGGGACGGCCAUGUCAUGCAUUCUAACCCCUCCCCUCUCAUCUCAUAUUCCAUCACCACAGCAACCUAAUCCAUUUACUUCCUGGAACACACAGCCAGGGCGUGUCAUCAAGCUGCUUUACAUCUGCAAGGACAUCAGCUCCUCCUAGACAAUGAUUCAAUCUUCCCUCUUCCCUCUGUUACACCCAUUUCAUACAACUAAUGCAGCCACAACCAGCUGACAGAUCUUCACAGUAAUAUAUUAAAUAAUACAGUAAUACAAUAUAUUACAAAUCAGCAGAACAGAUUUCAUGAAAACAUAAACCCAUUAUAUCCCAUAAAGAUCAACGAAUCAAAGUCUAUAGAAACAUACCUUUUCAUUUGUCUAUGGGAAGACAUAUUGUUCCCCUUGUCAAGUGAACAGAAAGACUGAUAAGACAGUCCUGAAUUGGCUGUACCAAUCAAAAUUUACCACAUUCUAUUAGAAGUGGUAGUUCCUGGCUAUCUUAAGGUAAAUAAACGAACAGUUAUCCCCUUUAGAUAUGAGAGUCUGCUAAAUUGAAAACAUACAUUUAAAUGUCAGCGUAGGUUGUUGAAGCUCAACAUUAGUAAGACGAUAACAGAACUACAGGUUGUACCUUCCUCCUUCAUGCUGCAAUAACAAACUCACAGAGUAACAACGAUCUGCACAUCAACAGACCCACAACACAGCCAUAUUGCAGUGUUAUAUAAGGACACUUCCAAGACUGACAGAGAAACAGAAAGAGAGAGACAGAAGGAGAGACAUAGAGAGACCUACCAAGCUUAUUUUGACUCAGCAUAAUCGUAGACAGCAAAACGGGCACAGCUAGCAAACUCUGACACUGAGCAGCAGGAUAGAGGACACACACUCUGUCUUCUCCCUCUCUGUCUUUCUCUAAUUCUAAACUGUUAAACACACCCAAAAGGACUGAUGCAUCUUCCUAUCUCUCUGCGUAUGGAAGCUGCUGGAAGCUGCUGCGCUUGUUUACCGUGCAGUCCAACCGCUGAGCCUGGAGGUAGAAGCUAGAGCAGCAGUGGCCCAUAGCAGGCUGCAGGGCAGACCAAUGAUUCAUUCCACACUGAUGCUGCUACACACCCAAAGAUAUGGACAGGGAGACAGAGAGAGCUGGGGAGGAAGGAGAGGCUGGAGAGAGGGGAGUAGAGGGAGGAGGUGUGGGGGAAGGGAAAAUAAGGGAAGGGACAAAAAAGAUGAAAUCAGGGGAGACAAAAAUAGAAAGAAUAAACAGAGAAAUAAAGAGAGAAAGAAAGGGAAGCGAGAAGAUGUAGCACUAGAAAGGAUGGAAAGAGAGGAGAUGUAGAACUACAAAGGAUGGAAAGAGGGGAGAUGUAGAACUACAAAGGAUGGAAAGAGGGGAGAUGUAGAACUACAAAGUGAUGUCAGCAUUACAAAGAAAGAAGAGGGAAGUGAGAAGGACUGGAUUGAGACAAAGGGAAGAUGAGAUUACUAAAGAGCCAGCAUGCCAGCCACACCUCUCAGCCAGCCUCACCUCUCAGCCAGCCACACCUCUCUGCCAGCCUCACCUCUCUGCCAGCCACACCUCUCAGCCAGCCUCACCUCUCAGCCAGCCUCACCUCUCAGCCAGC